GGGAAGUCCAAGGACCACCCACCUCCAUCCAGGUCUAGUAAGGUGAGCAUCCAAACUGCCUAGGCUCCCACAAAACCAAUAGGUGCAGUAGGAUCAAAAACCCAUUGCCAUUGUUCUUGAAGUCUCAGUAGUCCUCAUUGUCCGCUAUGUUCAGCGAGACCGGUUUUAUCUCAGGCUUUUUCAGACCCAGGCCAGCUGGCCUUGGUGAGUUCCCGAUAGAACAUCCCCAUUGUCUCAGUGUGUGGGUGCACCCCUCGCGGUCCUGAGUUCCUUGCUCGUGCUCUCUCUCCUUCUGCUCCUGAUUCAGACCUUGAGAUUUCAGUCCGGUGCUCCAUUGUGGGUCUCUGUCUCUGUCUCCUUUCGUCGCCUGAUGAAGGUUAAUAUUCAGGAGGAUGCCUAUAUGAUUUUCUUUGGGUUCUCCUUCUUAUUUAGCUUCUCUAAGAACCCGAAUUAUAGGCUCAAUGUCCUUUAUUUAUGGCUAGAAACCAAAUAUGAGUGAGUACAUCCCAUGUUCCUCUUUUUGGGUCUGGCUUACCUCACUCAGGAUGGUGUUUUCUAUUUCCAUCCAUUUGCCUGCAAACUUCAAGAAGUCCUUGUUUUUUACUGCUGAGUAGUACUCUAAUAUGUAUAUAUUCCAUACUUUCUUCAUCCAUUCUUCAAUUGAAGGGCAUCUAGGUUGUUUCCAGGUUCUGGCUAUUACAAACAAUGCUGCUAUAAACAUAGUAGAGCAUAUACUUUUGUUGUGUGAUAAGGCCUCUCUUGGGUAUAUUCCCAAGAGUGGUAUUGCUGGGUCCAGGGGUAGGUUGAUCCCGAAUUUCCUGAGAAACCUCCACACUGCUUUCCAGAGUGGUUGCACAAGUUUGCAUUCCCACCAGCAAUGGAUGAGUGUACCCCUUUCUCCACAACCUCUCCAGCAAAG